rnacentral:ncRNA from 3 species
CUGCCCUAUCAACUUUCGAUGGU